UCACUGGUUGGACAGAAAAUCGGUGAAGUAGCUUUGAGUUUUGUAUUGGCGGGCGAUGCCACCCUGGGCCUGCAGCUGACGGUGCAAAUGUAAACCCGUGUGCAGUACAGCACUGAGUUUUCUAAACCGAUUUUGCUGGUGCGGGAAGGUGAAUGUCAAAGAUCCUGUUUUCGUGAUUGCAGAACUAACAGAGAAAGCCUAGGUAUCUCACUGGAAUUACCACGUCAGAUCAGGUCCCUGUAGCUUCCUGUUUCCAGAAUUAGUCUUUGUCAAAGUUACUGUCUUCAGAUGAGGACAGAAGAGACAUUAAGACACCACAGCCUAAGGGUUUCUUCCUAAGGAAACAAAUUAAAUUCCUCUACAACCAGCCCGUUCAAGAUAAUUUCAGAAAGGAGUUUCUGCGGGAGAUGCGUAGAUCCUGAACAACGUCUGCAAAGGCCAACCACCUGGUCUUAGUCACCCUCAGCCUUUCCUGCAAGAGGAAGGAAGGAGAAAACUGACUGAAGCGGUUCUUAAACAGGUUUGCAAUGCUCAGGCUCUAUGGGUUAUCUAUUCAAGACAUGUCAACACGUGGCUGCUUGGGAAAGUGCUACUGAUAGCUGAAGGCAGUGUUUUACGUGGAGAAACUGAGGCAUAGAAAUGCUGCAGAUGUUAGAUGAAAUCAGGGAGAGAUCCAGGACCUGAAGUAGAAGGGCAGUCCAGGCCUUUCAGCACAUGCCAGGAAAGCAAAGGAAGUGUGGUCCAACAAAAGGAAAAGAAAAAAUGCUUUCUACCAGAGAUGGAACAUUUGUCAUAGUGGCUUUUUUAUAUGCUGGAAACCUGAGAAGAAGCAGCACUGGUGGUCGAUCCCUCCUCUGACUUUCCUUAUGAGGCAGUCUGAAGAUGACCAGUCAAGAAGCUGAACCAACAUUUCUAACCUGCAUUGCAAAACUCAUCAGUGUGCAGGAGGCUAUCCUUUCAUGAUAACACUCUCACUGCCAUCUUUUGAAGUUUGGUGGGUUUUUUACUUCAUAUGGAAUGAUUAAAGUUCCUUGUCUUCAGAAAAGAGAGCCCACAUGCCUCCUACAGAUGCAGUGUGCAGGCUUCUGCAUCGCUCUAGCUCUGAUUCUCCAUUUUAUCCAAUGAAAUUUAAAAUAAGCUUUAGCAAAAGAGUUUGAGAGAACUUCACAUGAGCAUAUCUCACUGGCUGGGAUGCACUCCUGGGAUAUGAGUGUUGGGAGGAGGACAUUUGAACUUGAGCUCUCUGUAGAUCAACCCCCAGAAUACCACUGGGUGAAGUUAUUUGCAAAUAAGGAUUUGUUUAGAUUUUUCCUAGAAAAGAGAGACUCCUAAAAUCCUUUGAAGAAACACUCAGAAGAGCCUGUGCCCUUAGAGCCAACUCUCCCCAGUGGUCAGGCAUGAAGACACACGCAGGCAAGGUCCCUCUCCUCUGCAAGAAGCAGCAUUUGUUCCUUCCACCAUCCCUCUCUUGCCUGUUCCUUUGUCACCUCUUUUUGGCCUAAUAUAGUCGAAAACCUGUAUCUUACAAAUGCGUGUCUUACAAGGCAUUCCAUAUAAAGGUCUAUUCGAGUCUAAUAGCCUUGCUUUAUCCCCUCUAGCAUAUAUAUUUCCUAAUUUUUUGGAUAAGGAACAGUCUUCAAACUCUACAUAGCUCCUAAUCUACUCAUAGUUUGGUCUAUAGCUUGGGCUCCUAGGUGCUGCUAAAGAUACAUAUCUAGAAAAUUUAUUCUGCUCAUGUCUCUGGUAUCAUUACAUCAUUAUAUUCAGUUCUUUUCCUGGGGAGAGCUGCAAUAGACCGGUGCUAUGUUAAAUCAGCCUCUGAUAGAAGAAGCUGUUCUCAUUUUCCCUUGAGCUGCACAGCAUUUUUCCUUUACAAUAUUGAUUUAAUAAUUUAUAAAUGUUUGAUGUUUACAAGUACCAAUGGAAAUAAAAACUGCAUUGGCAAAUGUA